GAAGGGGGCUAGCGUUGUUCGGAAUUACUGGGCGUAAAGCGAGUGUAGGCGGUUGUCAUAGUCAGGUGUGAAAGCCUUGAGCUCAACUCAAGAAUUGCACUUGAUACUGGGCGACUAGAGGACCGGAGAGGAUAGUGGAAUUCCCAGUGUAGUGGUGAAAUACGUAGAGAUUGGGAAGAACACCAGUGGCGAAGGCGGCUAUCUGGACGGUUACUGACGCUAAGACUCGAAAGCGUGGGGAGCAAACAGGAUUAGAUACCCUGGUAGUCCACGCCGUAAACGAUGGGUGCUAGACGUUGGCGAGCUUGCUCGUCAGUGUCGCAGCUAACGCGUUAAGCACCCCGCCUGGGGAGUACGGCCGCAAGGUUGAA
rnacentral:rRNA from 1 species